rnacentral:rRNA from 1 species
AGAGAUGUGUGAUGACGCAUAUCAAUAAGCGGAGGAAAAGAAACUAACAAGGAUUCCCCUAGUAACGGCGAGUGAAGCGGGAAGAGCUCAAAUUUGAAAUCUUAAAGGGUUUCCCUUGACGAAUUGUAGUUUAAAGAAGUGUUUUCUGUUAGAGAGGUUCGGUAAAAGUUCUUUGGAAUAGGACACUCAUAGAGGGUGAGAAUCCCGUAUUUGACCAUUACUUUCCAACUGUGUGAUACACUUUCAAAGAGUCGGAUUGUUUGGGAAUGCAGUCCAAAAUGGGUGGUAAAUUUCAUCUAAAGCUAAAUAUUGGCGAGAGACCGAUAGCGAACAAGUACCGUGAGGGAAAGAUGAAAAGAACUUUGAAAAGAGAGUUAAACAGUACGUGAAAUUGUCAAAAGGGAAGCGUUUGACACCAGUGUUGUUUUCUCGAAAAUCAAUUAAAAAUGGCCGGGAUGUUGUGUUGUAUUGACCUUAUAAGCUUUCUGCACUCUUUUUCUUUACCUUUUUUAAUGCACCUUUUCGUUUAACAAGUCAACAUCAAUUUCUUUUGUUGUAAAAGAGUCAUUGGAAGGUGGUUUUCAUUUCGGUAGAAAGUGUUUAUAGCCUUUGAUCACUGCAACCGGAGGGACUGAGGUCUGCAGCGUAGACUCUUCGGGGUUAAAUACAUUUGUGCUAAGCUAUAGCUUUUUAUAGACAACUUGUUGACUAUAUUUAGUCUUGUGGCUUACUCGCUUAUGCUAUUUUACCUACGCUUAGGAUGUUGAACUACUGAGACAUAGA